UACGGAGGGUGCAAGCGUUAAUCGGAAUUACUGGGCGUAAAGCGUGCGUAGGUGGUUCGUUAAGUCCGUUGUGAAAGCCCCGGGCUCAACCUGGGAAUUGCAUUUGAGACUGCAUAGCUAGGGUGCGGAAGAGGGAAGCGGAAUUUCCGGUGUAGCGGUGAAAUGCGUAGAUAUCGGAAGGAACACCAGUGGCGAAAGCGGCUUCCUGGUCCAGCACCGACGUUCAGGCACGAAAGCGUGGGGAGCAAACAGG
rnacentral:rRNA from 1 species